UUCUCCUCCCGCUUUCUCCCAAAUACCGGUUCCCUCCAAAUUCUAUUUUUCCAUUAAAUCAUAUUCCCUCGCAUUCAUGCCCAUUUCUCCUCAGACCUCUCGUCUCUGCCUCUUGUUUCUUCUAUGAACUAUUUUCUAAGGUUUAGUUUCGUUCUUUCUCUUUCUUUGUAUCUCUAUUACUUACGUUGUUUUAAUCUUUUGUGAAGUAUCCAACUGCAAAAUGCGAGAAUUAGCAGGCAAUUGCUAUUUUGCAAAUUCAGACAUUCAGCUUUCCAAAAUUCAUUCAAAACUCCUUCAGCAGGGUCCAAUAUAUCAGUUAUCAAUAUUGGUUAAGCAAGGAAAAUAUCAAUUGAGUUGAAUGACCAGAAGAUAACAAUUGUGUUGAAUGGCCAGUCUUCCAAUGUGGAGAGGUUCACCAUCUGUAAGUUGGAAGCUUAUUACAUAACAGUUGAGCCUCCUCUCAAACUGCAACUAUCCAUACGGAAAGGCGAAGAAAACAAUGGAAGAUAUAAUUCUAGAUUUUCAUAAGAACUCAAAUAUGGGUGUCAUGAUUUUGAGGUAGAUUGUUCUUGUACUCCUUUCUUUUUAGUUUGUAUUUUUCAUGCUGGUGUGAAUUGAUCCUUACCUUUCCCUUCAUUUUUUGGUUGUUUCUAUCUAUUUUUAUUUUCACAUGCUUGUUCAUGAUAUUUGGUACAUUAUUUGUUAUGUCAACCCGCUUAGUAUAUUUUCUGGUCAUCUAUCUUCUAAUUGACAAGGCUAGAUAACUAUUUAACUUUCCUAUUACUGAAGUCUCAUGAUGAUGUUGUGAACUAACUGAUCGAAGUAUCUCUUCAGUUGUAAAUAUUUACCUUCUCAAAGAAAUGCUCUCUUCAAUUGCUUUCCAUGCCUUUUCAUUGUUCUUUACCAACUAAACUACAAGCUUGCACUUCUUUGAUGUCUGUAAAUUCAUAUAUUUUCUUGUGUUACUUUUUUUGUUGUAUGCCGAUAAAAUUACCUUCACUUUAUUUAUUUGUGAAAUCAGAACUAUUAUAUUAGAUAUUUAUUGCUAUUUAGAAAUUUUAAUUAUAUAUCUCAGGUAGAUAUGGUGUCAUAAAGCUAAAUCACUGUCUGAAUUGUUGGGCCCGGUGCUUGGCAACAAAUCAUCUUGUAUUACUAAAUAUGCAUUGAUUUGCAGGCCAAGUUUGUUAAUGUAUUGAUUUCUCUCUUUCUUUUGAAGCAGAUUGGUUGUAUUACUUGAAUUUUGGCAGCAAUUUAGUUUGUUAACUCUUUGGGUAAGCUAUGUUGUGUAAGUCUAAGUCAUAGGAUUAGGUGUAUUGAUUGGGAACAAUGAACGUAGCUGGCUCAGUGACAUCUUCCUAUGUGACUACAGGUAGAUGGAAUACAUAUCUAGAAUCACAACUUACAUAAAUAGAUCAUGGUUUUCUUGACAAACUGAUUGCACGUGGAUUUUCCUUAUCCCUGGAACUACUUUUUACAGAAACUGACAACAAUAUCUAGGAACAAAAAAAGGUCCCUCUCAUUUUUAUUGUGAGAAUUGAUUCGGCAGUCUACUUUUCCAACUCCAACUGCAUGCAAGGCAGGUACUAGUUAUUAAACUGAAAGAAACUAAUCAAGCAAAGUUACCCGCAAGGGCGGUUCAGUUGGUUGAGCAUGGGGCUUUUAUAACGGAGGUCUCAGGUUUGAAAUCCCCUGCCUACAACAGUAGGGGAUUUGCCUUCUGGGUCGAGCUCGUCACACGGGGCUUGUCUAGUGCGGGUUAUCUCUUCUGUGUGUUUUGCGAGCUAUUGCACAGGAGCUGGGUUUACCCUGUGUUCACUCGAAAGGUAACAGCUGCGGGUUCCCAUGUCAUAAAAAAAAAAAAAAAACUAAUCAAGAAAAGGUUCGAUAGAUGAGAUGUCAAUUACUAGUACAUACUAGUGAAAUUCAUGUCUGAAAAGACUUAUUCAAAUCCCCUGAUCAAGAAAUGAUAUGUUGAAGACAAAAUACAAUUAGACGCAAUAGAUGAUGGUUAAGCUAAUCAAGAGCUGUUGUCUCAAACUUCAAUCAAGGAAGGAUGAAUUUCUUCAACAACUGGAAAUAAAGGCAGCGCAACUAAGAGUUUGAAGACAAAGUAAAAGUUUGGAGACAUAUUAUGUUAUUUUUUUGGGUUAUGCAUAUAUACAAAGAAAAUGUAUUAUAAUGUGUACUUUGUAUAUAUUAUGUUUGACUUUUUAGCAAUGAGAUAUUCUUAUAUAAUUCUAUUUUCCAGAAUCACCUGCUUAUUGUAUUAAUUAUGACAAUUUGCAGUGACAAUUUUAUUUUGUCAGUAAAAGCAAUAUUUUUGGUGA